GUUUACUCUUGUUUUAAAAUCAUAUCAAGAACUUCUUUUGCCUCAUUUAAUGGAAGUUAAUCGAAUUAUUGGAGAAUUUAUUUCUUCUUCCGUUUCCUUAAGAGAACGCGCUACUCUUUGCAAUAACUUGCUAACUAUUAAUGCGUACGUACAGAAUACGGACGAAUGCCUCGUGUUUAUGCUGGACCUUUUAGAGCCGGUU